rnacentral:lncRNA from 1 species
CCGAUCUUGGGCUUCAAGCUUCAGAUUUCUGGAUUGCUUAGCACUCUUUACAUGUUUUUUAUUCACUUUUUAAAGACAUUUUAAUUAAUUUGGUGCUGACGAGGGAUUCCAGAUUGACAGCCUUGGAAACUGAGGUCAUUUGUUUGUCCACAAAACAGGUACCACCAAAGCAGCAGAACUGCCGGCUCCCCUAUCAAAGAGCCUUGGGCUCCCCUUUUAAAGCACCUCAACCGAGGCCAGAAAAAUCACCUUCUGCUCUGCCCUUUCUGGGGAGAAUUCAUUUUCCUAAUCAGGCCUCAACCCUGAUGCCAGGAUUGAUUAAAAAAAUGAGCAGGAGCUCACCCUGACCACAGUGCCACAAGAAUAUAUAUUAAAAUUUUGCUCGUUUUGCUGGUCACUCCUUUUUUACCACAAUAAAUGAUGUUUUGCUGUUGUUCUCCAAUGUUUUUUCCAUGAGGCCACAUGGCAUGGGCCCAGUCAGGCCCCAACAUGCUUCCCAAGGCCAGCUGUCCACCCCAGUAGAGACCAAGUGGUGGAUCUUCUCUCCCACUGGAGCAGCAGGGUACAUGGUCCAGUUGUGCUGUCCCAGGGCACAGGAGAUGAACAGCACUGCUACUUCUGUUGUGUUUUCAGUGUUCAUCUGACAGAGCAUGGGAGAAGAAGGAACCUUUCUGACAAGACUACAGAAGAAGCAAUUGUGUGUCUCAUCCUCUGUUCAUAAGAACAGCGUGUUUGUAAUUGAAGAUGAUCAAAAUGAAGGCUGAAAAUACAGAAAGACAUUAAAAUUAUAACAUCUAUUAUUGUGUAUAUCUCAUGACUUUUAGGUGAGUUUAAUCAUCUGCUUGCAUUUGAGUCACAGUUUCUGAGCUCUACAAUUG